rnacentral:rRNA from 1 species
GACGAACGCUGGCGGCGUGCCUAACACAUGCAAGUCGAACGAUGAACCCGGAGCUUGCUCCGGUGGAUUAGUGGCGAACGGGUGAGUAACACGUGGGCAACCUGCCCCCGGCUCUGGAAUAACCCCAAGAAAUUGGGGCUAAUACCGGAUAUGACCGCUGACCGCAUGGUCGGUGGUGGAAAGAUUUAUCGGCUGGGGAUGGGCCCGCGGCCUAUCAGCUUGUUGGUGGGGUAGUGGCCCACCAAGGCGACGACGGGUAGCCGGCCUGAGAGGGCGACCGGCCACACUGGGACUGAGACACGGCCCAGACUCCUACGGGAGGCAGCAGUGGGGAAUAUUGCGCAAUGGGCGGAAGCCUGACGCAGCGACGCCGCGUGAGGGAUGACGGCCUUCGGGUUGUAAACCUCUUUCAGCAGGGACGAAGCGCAAGUGACGGUACCUGCAGAAGAAGCACCGGCCAACUACGUGCCAGCCGCCGCAGUAAAAC